rnacentral:rRNA from 1 species
AGCUCCAGUAGCGUAUAUAAAAGUUGUUGCAGUUGAAAAGCUCGUAGUUGGAUUUCUGGCUCGGAACGGCUGGUCCGCCGUAUAUGCGGUGCGUACCGGUUCGAUCCAGCCAUCCUUCCAAGGACCUCUCCUGCCCUUCAUUGGGUCGGGUGCAGGCACUUGGAUCGAUUACUUUGAAAAAAUUAGAGUGUUCAAAGCAGGCGUUUGUCUUGAAUACAUUAGCAUGGAAUAAUGACAUAGGACUUUGGUUCUAUUUUGUUGGUUUCUAGGACUGAAGUAAUGAUUGAUAGGGAUAGUUGGGGGUGCUAGUAUUGUGCGGCCAGAGGUGAAAUUCUUGGAUUCGCGCAAGACUAACUAAUGCGAAAGCAUUCACCAAGGAUGUCUUCUUUAAUCAAGAACG